CCCUAUCAGACUCUCUCUCACACUCACUCGGCCGUCUCUCUCUCUCUCUCUCACUCACUCACUCACUCACGAAACGAAACCCUAUUUCUCUCCCGAUCUGAGACUAACCCUCACCUCAUCGGCCGCCGUCGGUGCGCGCUCUCUGUCUCUCUCUCGACUCGUCCCUUGGCUCUCUCCCACUCUUCACAUCUUUAAGUCUCUUAGAGUCGCGCGAGACUCAUUCUCUUUCUCCAAACCAAACCAAACAUCAUCCAAUUUUAUUGGUUUUUGGAGCGAAUCCUUGUAAAUUCUGGAGGGCUCUGGUUCAUUCUAAGUAGUUGUGCUUAGUCUCUGUGGGUUUGGAUUAAUAGGCAAAAUUGAAGGCAUUCUCUUAUUAUCCCAAAAUCUCAUUUUUGUUCGUUGAAAGCCACACCCCCAGAUUAGUUUUGGUUUGGUUUAAAGCGUGCAAAUCUUGAUUUGUUGGGUUGUGGUUUGCGAUGAUGAGAUGAAACACUGGACGUGUUUUGGGCAGUGGACAAGCUCAUUUGGUAUUCUUUAUUCUUUGAUUACAAUUGGACGUGAUUCCAUUACAUUCAUUAAGCAACGAAACCCUGAAAGGAUCUCUCUCCCUCUCUGUAUUCUUUGAUUCAUUUGGUAGAAACCCGUUCGUUUUUAGAGGCAAAAGAAGCAUUGUGAAGUGGGCAUAAGGUAGAAACCCGUUUGUUUUUCAAAGGUUUAGAUUCUGUCAUUUUGUGCAGAACUAAUCAUUUCCUGCUCUGAUAUUCUAUAGUUGUGAUAUUUGAUCAGGAUGCAGGUUUGACACUUUGUCGAAUUGGAACAAUGAUGAUGGAGAAGCCAUGGGAGCUGCAAAACAUGUUUUGUUUGCAGCUCUAUAAGUAUAUUUGAAUCCGAUUAUUUUCUUAUUUUUAUGUGUUCUAACUCAAAUUGGUUUGAUUUAUUUUAUUAUAUUUUGUAGAAAUGGGGAGUAAAACAUCCAUGACAAAUUUGAAUAAGACUCUUCCUUCUUAGUGUGAUUAAGAUAUGUUGGAAGGUUGCUUUGUGAAGGCUUUUGGAAGAAUGGAUGCAGCAGAUUUUUUGCAAGGAUAUUAUCUCUAUGUGUAUUUUUGUGAUGGGUUGUAAUCUUUAAUGUCAUAAGUUUAAUUUGGUUUGUGUAUUAUUUUUUGUAAUGGUUUGUAAGAGAUUAUAUUUCCUUUCCUUGGUUGGUUGGUUGAAUUGAAUGUGUGUAUGUGAGAUUUAUUUAGUUUAGAAACUUAGAUUGGAAUGAUGGAUUUUUAUAGCUUGAAUUUACAUAAUUUCAGGUUUUGAAAGAG